CUGAAAUGGAAAAAUCAAUCAAUACAUUGAUUAUUUCUUUGUGUAUCUGCCCCUGGCCAAAUCAAUAAAACAGUGCGUGCACGCUCCCUGAAGUAAUUCACACCAGACACAGGUUCCAGGGUGUUGAAUAACUUGAGGAAUGUUUAUUCAGAGGGGACGGCAGGUCCCAUUUAAAGCAAAAUUACAUCAUAAGCAUUGUCAGAG